AAAACCAAACCCGUUGCCAUCAAGUUGGUUCCAAUGCUAGUGAUCCUGCAGGGCAGAGUAGAGCUGCCCCGUAGGGUUUCCAAGGAGUGCCCGGUGGAUUUGAUCUGCCUACCUUUUGGUAAGCAGCCAAGCUCUUAACCACUACGCCAUCAGGGUUUCCAGAAAUAAGGACAGCAGGUCUGAAACCUUGAAACCGCAGCUGCUGCAUGCCUACAGACUCCUCGCCCCACUGGCCCGGGACGGCAGUUCCUGCCACGAGAACCAAGAGCCUCUCCCUCCACAAAUGCCUGGACCCCGUUGGAGCUGAUUGCUGUAUCUUUCUCCCUCGGAGCAUCUGGUGGGUUCAAACCACCAACCUUUCAGUUAGCAGCCAAGUGCUUAACCACUGUACCACCAGGGCUCAUCCCCCAAGUACAAUCUACUAGUCUCUGUGGAGACCGAGAAGAUGAAUAAAGAUGAAUACAACACCCUUUCACUGUCUAAAGAACAAACCGCUUUCCUGUGAACCCCUGUGGAAACGAGAUCGUGUCACAAUUAAUUUCCUGUGUGUGGCUUGGGCCCUGUGUCUUCUUGAACCUUCUGCAGUGAGUUCUGGCCUUCUUCCCAGCCUUAACUUCCUGUGUGUGGCUUGGGCCCUGUGUCUUUUGAAUCUUCUGCAGUGAGUUCUGGCCUUCUUCUUAGCCAACUGUGUGCUCAGCUGGGAGGGAGGUGGCUAUGGUUGGGUGCUUUGGAGAGGUGCUGGUGAAGGGCCUCGCUUGUGAAAAGACAUAAAGUGGUAAUGGUGGAAAACUGCGUGGAAUGGUGGCUUUCUGUUUGGGAUCUGCCUUGGGCCGUGUUCCAUCUGACACCUUCAUCCAGUCCUUCCCGCCAGUAAUUGUGCUGAUGAACUGUUGCUGGUUUCUUUUCUCCAUGGGUUUUUCUAGGCUGU